UGAGUAACCUGCCCUUAACUCUGGGAUAAGCCUGGGAAACUGGGUCUAAUACCGGAUAUGACUCCUCAUCGCAUGGGUGGGGGGUGGAAAGCUUUAUUGUGGUUUUGGAUGGACUCGCGGCCUAUCAGCUUGUUGGUGAGGUAAUGGCUCACCAAGGCGACGACGGGUAGCCGGCCUGAGAGGGUGACCGGCCACACUGGGACUGAGACACGGCCCAGACCUCCUACGGGAGCAG
rnacentral:rRNA from 1 species